rnacentral:lncRNA from 1 species
UCAUAUUUUAUACUAAAAAAAAAUCAAAAAACUAAAAAUUUGCUUUCAAUAUUUUCUCCCCCACUACUGUAAAAUUACAGUAACAACCAUCACUGGAAAAUACCCUAAAGCAAGUGGCAAGGACUUGGUGGUUGGUACCCGAGAUCUAAGUUCGAAUCCUAGUUGAUUCACAUUUUCAGCUAAAUUUAUUUCUAAAUGAAAUAAACAAAGCGAGUAGCGUGCUACCUAUUUCUCAAAAAAAACUACCACUGAAAAAUACAUGACUAUAUGCUUCUCAAAUGAUAGAUAUAUAUUAUAUACUCAUAAUUUUAUAACGUUGGAAGAGAAAACAUUAUAAAUACUUUUAAAUUCUUUUGAUCUUCCAAUUAUAAAAAUGAUGAUUUCUAUCGCCAUUUUAUCAAACUAUGCCCACAUUCUAUACAUCACACCAUUAAAUCUGGACGAUAAAAGUCCAAAAUUAAAAUCUUUUUUUUUUCACUAUAAAUUUUU